rnacentral:tRNA from 1 species
GGAGAGGUGUCCGAGUCUGGUUGAAGGAGCACGAUUGGAAAUCGUGUAUGUGGCAAAACUGCAUCGAGGGUUCGAAUCCCUCCCUCUCCGCCA